AUGGAGACUACUGUUGUUGGAGGCCGGGGCAAAAGAUCGGCCAAGUUGUUCAUAGCCCCUUUCUUAUAUUUGAUCACCAAGUUGAAUUGUUGCAGAUAAGACAUUCACUUCAUGUGUCGAGCACAAUUGUUCUUUGCCCGACAAAUAUGAUCGCCAAUGCUUCACAGCCUAAUGUAGGGCAGAUUGUACAAUGCUAGGAUAGGUGCUUCGCAAAUCUUCUUUAGAAGCUAAAAGAUAUCUUCAUGCUUCUUCGACCAUUCAAAUUGUUUGUUCACUUUCGUCCAACCGUGUAGGAUUGCUGCAAUUACUGAGAAGUGCUUGAUGAAUUUUCUGACGUACUAGCACGCACCCAUGAAGCUCUUGACCUCGGUCACCGUCUUGGGUCUAGGCCAAUUUUUAAUGACCCUCACCUUUUUUGCAUCAAUUUUCAGAUCACGUCCACCAAUCACAAGCCUAAGUACACAAAGACUACUUCCCGAUCUCGCACUUCUUGAUGUUCAGCUUCAUCUGAUUUUUUUUGCAGCCCCUUUAGGACCUUCAUGAUAUGCAUGACAUGUUCUUCCCAAGUAUUAUUGUAGAUCAAAAUAUCGUCGAAGUAUACAGUCACGAAGUCUUCAAAGAACGAUCGUAGUACCUCGUUCAUGAACCUCAUGAAGGUGGCAUGGGCAUUGCAUAAACCGAACAGCGUAACCAGCCACUCAAACAAACCCUACCUCAUCUUGAAGGCCAUCUUCUAGGUGUCUCCCUCGCGAACUCAAACUUGAUGGUACCUAGAUUUCAAAUCCAGCAUGGUGAGUGGUGUGCAUGUUUGAGUUGGUCCAAUAAAUCUUUAAUUCGGGGUAGUGUACUUAUUUUUUUACGGUAAUCUUGUUCAAGGCAUGAUAAUCGAUGCACAUCCUCCAUCCAUCAUCUUUCUUUGGCAUUAGAACCACAGAAGAUCAGCAUGGUAAAUAACUAGGCUUGAUCACGCCUUGGUCAAGUAACUCCACAACCUACUUCUUGAUCUCUUCGUUCUCUAUCAUUGAGCUGCAGUAGAGCCUCAAGUUGGGCAAAGGUGCAUCAGUUACCAGUUGAAUCUCAUGCUCAAUUACUCUUUUGGCUCGCAUCCCCUUUACAUCCUCGAACAGGUCUAGAAACUUCUUCAACAAUUAGCAUAUCUAAGCUUUCUAACUUAGAUUCAAGUCUUCUAUCAAAAAGUUCAACCUCUCUUGUGUGGCAUCGGCUUCUCGUAUCAUCAACAACACAAACCUUAUGCAAGCAUUAACGAGUCGCUUUGCCUGCACAGCAAUCACAAGAUCUACAUUUUUUUGUGUUUUGGAGGCAUUGAUAAUGAACUUCUUCCCAUCCUUUACGAAUCGAUACUUCCUCAGAAGCCGGUGGAAGACUGCAUCUCGAUCUGAAAGAUACGGUCUCUCAAGGAUAACCUAGCAAACAUUCAAAGAAACUACUUCAUAAGUUAUCUUGUCAACAUACCUCUCAGCUAUGGCGCACUUGAAGGUAUACUAUUUGGUAAUCUUCAACUCAACACUUUCUGAAUCCAACCACGAGGGUAAAGACGUGAAUAAAGCUUGGUCUGCAACUCUAGAUUCUAAACCAGAUUUUCAUAUAUGAGGUUCUUCUGGCUUUCAGGAUCAUAAUAACCAUGAUGAUGCUCUGUUUCACCUUGAUCUUCAAGCGGAGUUCCUCACGCGCCUCUAGGUUUGCCUCAGUUACUAUUUCAAGUUUUCUUGCCAUCAAGCUCAAUUGAAGUCUGCUUGCUCGAGGUCGGGCAACUCCUCAACCUCUAUAGCAUUGAAGACUAUCUUCCCUUUCUUCUUAGAAUCAUCAUCCUUCAGCUUCUUUCUCUUUGGCUACAACUCGGGUGGAGGCUUCCAACACUUAUCCUUAGUGUGUCCGCAGAGGUUACUGUGAUCACACUAGCUAUGCUGAAGUCUUCAACUUUGAAGAGCUUCAACUCCUUUCGAGUACUGUCAUGGAGACCUCCGACGUAUUUCAUAAAAACUGCAUAAUCAUCAAUAAAGAUUCCAAGUAAGAUCUUGUGAAACUUGAUGGUGUAGUUCUAGAUGGAUUGAUGAUACUUUUGUCAUAGGUACUACAACUUAAUCCACUGAUCCUCCUUAUGGUCGUUUGGGUAGAAUUGCUUCUUGAUUAGGCUCUUGAAUUUGCUCCAUAUUAGAUUAGAAACGUCAUUGUUCCUCAUGUACAAAUUCUACCAAAUAAGAGCAUGGCUAGAAAGCUUGAGACGAGUAAAAGCUACCUUCUGGACAUUAGGGUAACCACAGAUAGUAAAGUAGGUCUCUAACUGUCUAACCAGUUAUCUAGAUUCUCCGCAUCAAUAGUCUUUUCGUAUACAAGGAUCUCAAUUCAAGCUUCAACUUUAAAAUUUUGAAAAUAGAGAUUUUGUGUACCUGUAGGUAGGUCAUCCUCCUUGCUAGAUGGUAGAUCUUCAUUUGCAGACGUAAGAGAGAUCUUCACAACAGAAGUUGCUAAUGUUUGUGCUAAAAGUAUCGCCAAGCGAGAGACGAUCUCGAUGAGUUGGACAAUGUUGCCCCCUAAGCUGUGAGACAUCCCUUCGCUCUUCAUCCAUCGAGGAAGAACUAAUAGUCAUACUUGCCUGUCCUUCGAUGUACUUGAAGCAUGGACAGUCCUCCUGAUUACUUGUAUUGCUCGCACAUCCGAACCAUGAACUAAGGCCCUCUGAUACCAACUUUGUCCGAUCGAGGAGAGAAGAUUUUUCUCAAACAGCUUAACUCAAAUCUCUCAAAAAAAUUUAAAAAAUAGUAGAUUGUGGAAGCAAGGCUUAAAACCCUUUUUUCAUUCGAUUGAUCUAAAAUUGGGGUACACAGCCUCUAUUCAUAAUGGUAAGGUCUGUCUUUGCACAAUUCGGAUUGGAUUUCUUUUUCUAGCUCUAAUAGGACUGUCCUUCCUAAAAUAGAAGUGACUAGUAGAAAUAAACUCGAAAAAAAUAAAAUUCUUUAGAAAGUAUAUCUCAAUUUUUACAUCAAUUAUGUCUUCUGUCUCUCUAUUUGAUUCUUCUCAGAUUGGCAUAUACACCUAAUCAAAUUUUUUACCCAAAAAAAACUUUCAGUUUGACUGAUCCAUUUCAGACCCCAAACAAUGAAAUUUGGACUGAUCACUAGGAGCGCCACCCUCUAAAGGGCAAGGCGUCAUGUCGUAGAUCUCAAAAAGUUGUCUGAUUAAAAAAAAAACAAGAUAAUCUCAAUCAAAUGUCGUAUGACCAUGUUAUGGCUUCCAAAACUUUGGCUUGCAACUCGACUUCUCAAUAUGGCGAAUCUUGCUCUUAGACAGUAUCCAGCCCUACCUGUAGCGGCCAAAAUGAUCCAUAUUGAGUCUCGAGAUCCUUUUAGAUCACUCAACUACUUAAUACUACCAUAAGGACCACCUUUUCUUUUUUCCUCUGGAGAAGGGGGUGUUGAGAUUUAACCAAUUAGGACUGUGCAAAUGUUUGCAUGACCUAAUCAUCAAGAGGGGAAUAGUUCUAGCUCAUGGUUACAAUAGAACCAUGGGAUUAAGGACCACCCUCUCUUUUUUCCUCCAGAGAGGGGAUUGGGUUUUUUGAGAUUUAAUCAAUUAGUACUGUGCAAAUGUUUGCAUAACCUAAUCAUCAAGAGGGGAAUAGUUCUAGCUCAUAGUUGCAACAGAAGCAUGGGGUAUAUAAGAUACUGCUUUUUCUUUUGUGAAAAAUUGAACUUCCUAAAGAACAAAAGAUAACCACAAAAACUACCUCAACAGGAUAGAUAUUAAAAGUAAAGUUUCAUGUGAAAUAAGAAAUUUCCAGCAUCACCACAAUAAGGGGUUCUUUGCAUUCUAGGAUUGGUCACCCAAAUAACUUGCAAAUGUGGUCCAAAAACUCCUCUGUUUAUGCUUCCUUUACACCAUUUCAAAGAAAAAAAAAGAAGAAAAGAAAAGGGGGAAAAUCCAACUUAAAUAAAAUGUCUGUCAGAAUCAGAAUCAGUAAAUGCUCCACUCAUACUCAACAACUAAAUCCCUCAUGCAAAAAUAGAAACUAAGUUCCACCCACUAAUCCACAAGGUUGUUUGAGAAAGCAAAAGAAAAUCGAUGUGCUACUUUUUAAUGAUGUGAGUAAAAUGUUUUCAGUCACAAACAACAAGUGUUAACCAUACCUUGACAGUGUCAUCAGUUGAAUGGGCUUCUGCCACAUCACAUAACUUCCCAAUUAUAUAAGAAGCAGAAUACUUUCCAUCUGUUGUCCCAUAUUCACCUAGAACCCAGCAUAUGACCUGCACUUAUAGAAGUACAUAAUGAAAGAAUAAUUUUGGGAAAAAAGUUGCAGAAGUAUCAGCAUUUGCCCUAAUGAAGGUAGAUAACAAUGGCUUAGCUUAGAGAGAACAGAUAAGUACCUGCAGAAAUACAGAUGGAAGCUUUGGCUCCCCAAGAAUACAUAAAUAUGAAUCCACCUGCAUAAAAAGAAAAAUAAGUCAAAACUUUUAUAAAUAUGGAAAAGAAGCAAAUGACAGAUGGACCGGAAAUUUAAGAGAAAAGGAACAAAACACAUGAUAGCAAUAAACCUCAGAAUUUUUGAAAAAACACAACAAGAAACAUUUUCCAUGAUAACUUUUUGGUGCAAUGGUACUUAAGUAUUUUAUGCAGCACCUAAUACAACCAUGUAGAAUAAUAUUAUUUUGGGUAAUAGGCCAGGUAGAAUUAGAUACAAACGUUCUUUUAACUAGAAAAAUAUAUAAAGCUAUUAUCCAUGGAUUUUCAUUUUUUUUAUCUUUAAUGAAUUAAAAUAUUAAAAACAUAGAUUAGUAUUAUAAAAUAAUGGUUAGUAUGAUUCUAUAGAUUUCAUUCUAUAGAAUGCAAAUCACAUCUGAUGGUAUAUGCAUGGACUCCUAUGGUGUCUACAACAGAUUUUUUUAAGAAAACGAUUUAUUCGCUUUUCCUUUUUCUAUAUUUCACUUUCUUUUAAGAAUCUUCUAAUUUACAUUAUGAUGGAUUAAGAAGUCUGGCUCAUUAUUUUGAUGACUUUAUUCUUAACAAACACAAUUGAGUUACAAUUUAGGUAAGUCAUCAAGGUAUGCCGUCUCGGUAUCGGCCCCAUAUCGGUACCACCCUAUCACUAUUUCAGUACAGUAUGGUACUCAAUACGCCCCCUGUACCAUAUAUCGGUACCGAACCGGUAUCGUACACCCCAUGCUGUCCGGUUCGGUAGCAAAAGAUUCAACUCUGUUCUUUAAAGUGUAUUUGCAUGUCUAGUUAUCCCUAGCCCCUCAUAUCACUAAAACUGAUAAACAAGUGUUUUGAAUAGCUAAAAACUCCCUUUGUACAUGAAAAUUUUUUUUGGGCUAGUUUUAGGAGAGAAAAUUCAAAUAUGGAAUUAAAUACCACCUUCAUACAGAAUAAUAAGUUUUUAAUUAUGCGCAUAUACAGAACAUUACUACCAUUAUCCAAUAAAACUUGACUAACCUACUUCAUACAAUGAUGUAACAACACAAGAUUAGCAUGGGUAAAUUAUAUUUGCAAAUAAUGCAGCUACAGUGACUAACAUAAAGAUGUAAAACUUCAAGAAGAUAGGAAACCAUCAGAAAAUUUUCACCAACUUAGAUCAAGCCUGCCGGUUACGGAAUACUUCAUUAAGCAGGAAAAAGGUUGACUCAUAGUCAUAAGCUAAGGUGGCAUUUGGCAUACCCAUCAGUCUUCAGUUUUUUUAAAAACUAAAACACAGUUUCUGUUUUUUCUUUCUGAAAACCUGAAGCCUGUUUUGGCCUAGGGUAGUGGCAGCAGUGGUAGCAGCAGCAGUGACAAUCGGUGGCCGUCAUGGCGGCGGCAGCAGGGGUACAAGAGAACCAGUAUUUAGUUUUCAAAAGAAGUAAAAGCGAGAAUUCCUGGCUUCUACUUUUUCUAAAAACUGGAUGAUGGUUUUUGAAAAAACUGGAAACAUAAAAUCAGCUACCAAACAACUUUCAAACCGCAUCCAUGAUUUUGAAAACAAAAACCACAAAAUGAAAAUUGGCAACCAAGCCAAAUAGGGCCUAAAAAUGCCAAAUAUUGGUGAGGUCUCUUGCUAACACUUAAGUUCUUGUCUUUAUCCAAACAGGAUAGAAAAAAGAAGUUAUAUUGUAAAUUUGUUUAAUUUCUCUCAUCUCCUUUUAUCAGAAAUUACCAGCCUGUCACCAAAAAAAUACUAGUCAUGUCACAAUGCAAUUUUAUUAGGUGGACAUUGAAGCAUACUCUCAUACAAGGAAAAAAGAAAAAUUGAUUCAACAUGUAACAGGCAAGUUAUAAAGCUUUUUGACCUUCAAUAUGCAUGAGGUGAGUGCAAAUCUAUUUUAUAGACAGCAAAUUUCAAUACACUCAAACCACUAAACCCAUAGCUAUGCAUCUGAUAUGUAAAAAGCAUAAAUGAGUCUUUCUACACAUGCACUUCCAAGGGCAUGUUAAAGCAGUACACCUGAAUAUAUGUAAAAAUUAAGCAAAACCACUAAGAUUUUCCACACAAUUAGAACUUAGAAGAAGUACAUACAGCAGAGGAUCUCAGUUGACUAUCGGCACCUUCAUCAUCCUCUCCAAAUCCUUCAGCAAUUAAUCGCAUUAAAUUAUGUGCCACUCUAACAUUUACAAGAUCACCUGCAUGCUCAAAGACCUUAUUCAUGGUCUGGGAAGUGAACUUGUUAGAGACACUAUCAAUGGAGUUCCAAAGUCAAAUGUAGAAUAUCAUUUUCAAAGCAAGAAGCUGGAAAUAAUACAAUAACACUUGUAGAUACCUGGAUAAACCAUUGGUUGCUUGGUGCAAAUUGUUCAGCAAGCUCAACACAGCGCGAUGCUAUUUCUGUUUUGUAAUGAUUAUCAUUUAUGCUUCUCAUGUAAUCAAUCAUGCGAUCAACUAUCACUUCAACAUUUGAGGACUUAGUCAUUUUAUAAAGUAACUCAAAGGUCUUGCGCUUUAGAGUAUCAUCAGGAUCCUGUGCAAAACAUGCAUUCCAACAAAGCACUGGUUCGAUCAGUUUAUAUAAAUUAUCUCAGAAAUCUGCAAGAGCAUGUAUCACUACAUCUUUCUUUUAGCCUUUAAGAAAUAAUUUAAAUAAGAAGUAAUCAAAAUAUUAUAAACAAGAUGUAUAAAGCUCUGACAGUUUUGCAAGAAAAAAUACAUCAUUUUUUAUAUUUUUUCAGAUUUGAGAAGAUUUUAGAAUUUGGGACAAAAAUAUCCAUAGUUCUUUCAAGUAAGAGAUUUUCUUCAGCCAUAAUGGAGAGUGCAUUUCUCUCUCAUCUUCUCUUCCUAAUAUGCCCCUUCCCUCCAUCACAUCCUAACCUCCUCGCUACCAUCUCCCCCGCCCCCCGCAGUCAUCUCUCUCAUCUUCCUCCUCUUUCUCAUCCUCUUCUCCCUCCUCCCGCAUCUACCCAAGUUUUCCUAUGAGCUUCACCUUCAGGCUUGAGCGUUGGCUAGGUAAACCCCCUCUCAUAAAGAAGAAUAAGGGGAAAAUAAUGAAUAGUCUGGCCACCAUGAUUCUUGCUCAUAUUCAUGACAAGCGGCUUCAUCCUAAGCUAUAGGUUCUAAGCAAGACAUAAAUUUCCAGAGGACUGAGAAAGAGUCCAGAAAUCGGAAUAGAGCAGUCAUUCUACAGAACUUGUUUAAGUUUUUAGGGCAUACACAAGCUUGUAGAAAAGAGAAUUCAAGCAAAAACUAGGAUGAUGAUAAACUUACAUAAUUAAUUAAUUAAUUAAUAAUAAAAUUGCAAAAUAAAUAGUCAGUAUUAUAAUUUGUUACAUGAUUACAUCACAACAAAUAAGUGGAAUAUAAAUUUAGCACGUUAACAAGCUCAUCAAAAUUUAUAUAUCUUUCAUUACACCAACUGUACUCUAAAAUUUCUCUUUCACAAAUUUGUGCAAAUUUUACUCAAAACUUGUACAACCACUUUCUGAAAACUUGUGCGAGCUUGUCAUUUGUCAAUGUUCAUUUUAUAUUAAAUCAAUUUUCACAAAUUUAUGCAAACUGUACUCAAAAAUUUAUGCAAUCAUUGUUCAAAACUUGUGUAAGCUGAUUAUUAUUUAAUGUUAGUGAUGCACUUAAAACUUAGUAACCACCGUUUAAAACUUCUUUGAGCUCCCAUCAUGUCGAUCUUAGCCUUUUAUAAUUUAUGCAAGUUUUACUCUAAAGAUGUGAAACCACCAUCUAAAACUUUGCUAACUCAUUAUUACACAGAAAACAGAGAUUUUUAUUAAUUUUGAAUCAUAUAUCUCCCAGACAUGCUUCCAUCCUUCUAAUUAUUUUGGGAGGAGAUUGGAUUCGUCAAAAAUCUUGAUUUCAGAGCAGCAGGUGAUAGAAGGUGAAUAGGAGAUAUUUAGGGUUUUAAAAUUCAUUUCAGAAGAGGAUUUGUCUAGGGUUAUACAUAGUAACAUUUAUGUUUCUUAAGAAAUUCUAUGAUCCAUAUAUUGGAUUACUUCUUCCCUUCCUUGUGCUUUCAAUUUUAGCCUCUUUUUCCUUAAACUGCAAGUUGCUUACUCAUAUUGUUGUGCUCUCUCUCUCUCUCUCUNNNNNNNNNNNNNNNNNNNNCUCUCUCUCUCUCUCUCUCUCUCUCUCUCUCUCUCUCUCUCUCUCUCUCUCUCUCUCGAUUAUGAAGGAAGCUUGCACCAAUUUUACUUCAGACCUAAUUUUUGAUUAGAUCAUAAAUUAAUCCAGCCAUAAAUCUAUUGAGACCGGUGCUGUUCAGAUUUGAUUUGCAUCAGAACCUCAAAGCCAUGUAUUCUCAUCCAUUCAGAUGAAAAGGUUUUGGAGCACAAUGACCAUUGGAAUCAAGAAAAACAAAUUGUAAUUGAAAAUAGACCUAGUUAAACUGAACAAAAGAAAAAAAUGAACCACCACAUUCUUAUCACCAAAAAUUCACAGCUCCUAUAUCCUACCUAAAGUUUGAUCAAGUGUUUAUAACGGAUUGGCCAGUAAAAUCAUAUUUCCUCCCAAGGUCAGAAAGGGAUCCGUGAUUUACAAAUGAUCCUUCCCCUUGUGCUUUAAGACAUCAAAGACGACUGUCUUUAUUAGUAUAAAAAAGAUCUCUUCUGCCAAGACAUUAGAACUCAUGGUUCAUAUAAUUUCUCCCCAUACCACUAUCUUUCCAAAGUAAGGCCCUUCAAAGGCAUCUCAACCCUCUGAACCUAAAUAAAUUCGAACUUAUGCUUCAUGCUGUACACACGCACCUCUUAUACUAAAUAUAUGAUUAAUUACACCCUAGAAUUUCUCAACAAGGACCUAUCCACUGGGGAUCUCCCAUAAGUCAGCUUCACAUAUCUUUACAAUUUAGUUGAAUAAAAAGACUAGGAACAGCUUACCAUGUUUUCCAUUCAAUUUUUUAUGUUUACAUAGACACCUUAAUCUUCUAGUACUAUUACUUUGUCUCCUUCCACUGUCCUUACGUCCAUAACAAGCAAUUGUUCUUCACAUUUGUUUCCAAAGAAUCCUAGGCAUGUUUGGUUGGGGGAGUUGGACUCUGAAAUGGGAAUAGGAAUGAGCAACUCCCAUUCCAGCUGUUUGGUUGGGGGAGUCCUAUUCCCAUUCCGAUUCCAAGGGAAAAAUGGGCUCCAAUCCCCCAAAAUCUAAUUCCUACUCUCCCCUAGUAUUCAAAUCUCAUUCCAGUUCCGAUUCCGAUUCCAGUCACGAACCAAACGCAUUGGAGGAUAUAUCCAUUCCGAUUCCCAUUCCCAUCUAUUCUGAUUCUAGUCGCGAACCAAACGCGCCCAACUCUUCAACCUCUUCUUUUACAUUGUAUUCCCCUAAUAAUGCACUUACUUUAGUUAAUAGAUCUACAAGCAAACCAACUUAAAAUUUUCAAGUUGUUGUGGUAACAUGAAGAAACCACCAAGUAACUGAAAGGUAAUCCGCCCCUACUCUUCAAUUAAACAAUCAAGGCCAUCAAACAAACCAACAACCAAGUAGGAGAUGAAUCUCAGUUAGAUUUCCUCAUCUGAUAGCCCAAGAUUACAGCUUUGGUCCCUCAUUGCAUAUCAUAUUCCAGUUUGAUUCUGUGUAUAAAGAUGUUUUCUACUGAAUCACCUUGCUGUUAUUUCAAGGAUCAUAACAGCAACUUGCUUUGAUGAGGUAAUUACGAUGCAAUGUUUGAUCAAGGAUAGGCUCAUGAUACACAAAGGGGGGGGAUAAAUGGAGGAAAGGGCUGGCACAAUCACUGAAGAAAGCAUGGGAAGCAAUGAACACCACCAUCGGUUCACUAUUUCAGGCAAUAAGGGUUCUGAUUUCCAACAUGGCGAUUAAUUGAUCAAAUGGACAUAUUUCGUUAAUGUCCACACUAAAGAGAUGUAACUAGACAAUGAUUAUAGUUCAAAAUCAUUAUUAAAUUGCUCAGAUCACUUACUGGUUUGAAGUAUACUUCAUUUUAGUUGGUAAGUAUUUUAUGGUUCUGAGAAAGUCAGUAGAGAUUCUCUGUAAGGCUGUUGACUGAACAAAGAAUUCUAGUUUCAUUAGCCUUUUCUGAGGAAGGAUUUGGGUGUCUCAUUGUCGAUUGCUUUUAUUUCCUUUUUUUAUGUAGAAUCCAUGUGAAACUAAAACUGGAAAGGAGGGGCUGGUUGUCAGUCUACAGAAGUGUGGAUAGUUUGAUAUAGACUUUUUGAAGCAAUAUUGAUGGAAGAAAAAGGAUAGAAGCCAGAUCCAGCUGUCACAUCUCCUCUC
rnacentral:lncRNA from 1 species